UCCCGGCAGGGCGCCUCGGCGUCCAUCGGGACCCCGACGGAGGUGCCGGGGAUCUUUCGGCUACAACGCCGGGCAGGUGGGGCUCGUUAGCCGUGGUAGGCAAUCUGCCUAGGAGAGCAAACUCCGAACAACAAACCCGGGCAGGUGAGGUUCGUUAGCCGUGGUAGGCAAUUCACCUAGGAGAGCAAACUCCGAACAAUAAACCCGGGCAGGUUGGGCUCGUGAACCGUCAUAGGUAAUACACCUAGGAGAGCAAACUCCGAACAAUAAACCCGGGCAGGUGGAGCUCGUCAGCCGUGGUAGGCAGUCUGCCUAGGAGAGCAAACUCCGAACAAUAAACCCGGGCAGGUGGAGCUCGUCAGCCGUGGUAGGCAGUCUGCCUAGGAGAGCAAACUCCGAACAAUAAACCGGGGCUUGUGGUGCUCGUUAGAUGUCGUAGACAAUCCACGUGAUGGGAACACCAAAGAAAAGGAAAAUAAAAAGGAACACCAGAAAAAGGAAAAUAUAGAAAUAAAACAUCAAGAAAAUAAAAUAAAAAACACAGAUCAUCCACCUUCAGGCCCUAACAUCUCCAAAAUUAUGGGUGAGUCUUUUCUGGGGAGAAAGAGGCUCAUCCAGACCAAAGAACAUCAAAAAGGGAUGAUAUAGAAAGGAACACCAAAAAAAUGGGAAAAAGAGAAAAAACAUCGCAAAAGAAAAGCAACAACAAUAACAGAACAACGUCAAGAAAAGUAACAUACAAAGAAACAUCAUCCACCAUUCGGCCCCAAACUAACAUCACCAAAAUUAUGGGUGGGUCUUUUCUGGGGAGAAAGAGGCUCAUCCAGACCAAAGAACAUCAAAGAGGGAUGAUAUAGAAAAGAACACCAAAAAAUAGGGGAAAAAAAAAGCAAAAAAACAUCGCAAAAGAAAAGUAACAGCAAUAACAGAACAACAUCAAGAAAAGUAACAUACAAAGAAACAUCAUCCACCAUUCGGCCCCAAACUAACAUCACCAAAAUUAUGGGUGGGUCUCUUCUGGGAGGAAAGCGGCUCACCCAGACCAACGAAGAACAUCAACAAGAGGAUGAUAUGAAAUAAAAGAACAUUAAAAAUCACGGAGAAAAAAAGAAGAAGAAAAAGAACAGAAAAAAACAUCGGAAAAGAAAAACAAGAAGAAAAACACACCAAGAGAAGAAAAAUAUAAGAAACAUCAUCCACCUUUCGGCCCCUAACUAACAUCACCAAAAUUAUGGGUGGGUCUCUUCUGGGAGGAAAGCGGCUCACCCAGACCAAUGAACAUCAACAAGAGGAUGAUAUGAAAUAAAAGAACAUCAAAAAAGAAAAACAACAGCAAGAAAACAAAGAAA